AAUCAACGCUGGCGGCGUGCCUCAGACAUGCAAGUCGAACGCGAAAGUUCCCUUCGGGGGAUGAGUAGAGUGGCGCACGGGUGAGUAACACGUAGGUAAUCUACCUUUGGAUGGGGAAUAACAACCGGAAACGGUUGCUAAUACCGCAUAAUGCAGCGGCACCUAAUGGUGACAGUUGUUAAAGCGGGGGAUCGAAAGACCUCGCGUCUGAAGAGGAGCCUGCGGCGGAUAGCUAGUUGGUAGGGUAAUGGCCUACCAAGGCGACGAUCCGUAGCCGGCCUGAGAGGGCGGUCGGCCACACUGACACUGACAUACGGGUCAGACUCCUACGGGAGGCAGCAGUCGGGAAUUUUGGGCAAUGGGCGAAAGCCUGACCCAGCAACGCCGCGUGAAGGAUGAAAUCCCUCGGGAUGUAAACUUCGCAAGAACGGGAAGAAUAAGCGAGAGUAAUAUCUUUCGCGAUGACGGUACCGUUUGUAAGCUCCGGCU
rnacentral:rRNA from 1 species